GCAUGUAGCAAACUGUCCUCCCUUUCACUCGGCAGAGUUCAGCCAUCAUUCUGUCAUUCCUCGUCAUCCAGAGAAGCAAUUGCACUUCUGUUUUAAUACUGAACAUCCUGUCAUUAUCAAAGAUAACCAUGUCCACUGGGGAAGGUGUAAACCUCCUUAAAUCAAGUGCAUGAGGAUUUAUCUGGAAAGAACAAUAAGCAAAAGAACUUCUCCGUGUACAGAAUGGCUGAUUAACUUUCAGGCAUCUGCGAGAACAAUUCUGCCAAAAAUUAAUCACAGCCUGCAAAACCUGGGCCAUCUUGAUCUGAUGCAAGCUACAGAAUCUUUUCCAAAAAAGUAACUUCAUCCAUUUGGCUCCAGAAAACACUUCGGAAAAGGCACAUUUUGCCAUUAAUCAGCACUGCCAGACAUCUGAACUCACUUUUCAAAUGCUGAUGCUAAUUGCUGCCUACAGAUGGCAGUGAACCUUCAGGAUUAAGAAGAAUGAACUGCCAGGAAUGGAAGAGCUGAAACACCACUUCUAUUCCUAUUUUUAUUUUACUCUGUCUUUUUUCAAAGUGCUGUGAUUCAGCUUUUUUUCUUCUUCACAUUAGCCGCUGAUGGAUUCUGAAAGCUUGGUACUUUUGCACAAAAAGGGGAACAGUACAAUGUGCAGUACCAGAACAAAAGUAUAAACAAUUCAGCAAUAUGGCUUUCUCUUGAAUAACGUCAGAGAAUAAUAAUGUCUUAUACCAUUAAAGGGAUAUUAUUCUUUUUUAAAAGCCUGAAAAUGAAAUCAUGAUUUUAAUUUCCCUACUAGCUUGGGCAUCACAAUCAUGUUGUUUAUAUAUCUACACUCUUAAUCAGAUUCCAGCUGUCACCUACUAUGAUUGAUGCACUCCAUUUUCUUCCAUAUAAAUAAAUUGUUCAUUCAUAAUCA
rnacentral:lncRNA from 1 species